UGAGAGCUUUACAACCUGACCCACAGGCAG
rnacentral:piRNA from 1 species